rnacentral:lncRNA from 1 species
ACCCCAUCCGUUCUACCAGUAGUCUGGCCUUGGAACGACACCAGCAAAUUAACAACUCGGGCUUGUUUCCUGCUGCAAGGUAACUGUCAAAUAGACUUCAGACUUCUCUUCGUUGUGACCAUUUCCUGGAGCGGAAGGGACCAAGAUGUGACUGUCUGGCUAUUUGACUGCAACCCACUUCUGUGCCUGGCUUGGUUUGAUGACAUAUACCAAAUGUAGCCAUGACCACGACAUGGUUUUGGCAGACUUAGAAGCCUAAGAGUUGCUCUGUUGUGCCUGAUCUGGCCCAUUUUCAGGAUGACUGAUGUCUUCACUUGGCUGAAUCAUUACUUGGAUGCGCUGUUUAAAGAACAAUAAAAAACGUG